GACAAUCGUCAAAAAAAGGGUGACACGCCUUACCCAACAUUCUCGCCUACGAUGACUACCUUUACCCCAUUUAUUCAUCAUCUAGCUCCCGAGCAUUCAAAUUUUCACCUUUCAAGCAUGCUUCAAAGCCACAACAAUAUGCAUUACUUGACUAAGGAUCCAAGCUAUUAUAAUUUUGAUGAUCUACAUAGAAAAGAUUAAUGACUAUGUAGUGGAAGUUUUGAUAUGAGACUGGUACGAGCUUUAUUAAAUAAAAUGCAUUUGAUGAAGUUAUAAGCUUUGUAUCAAUGAAUUUGAUUUGUAAAUUUGUUUUAUCUGUUUGUUU